GUCGGGAGGUCCUCAAGACGGAAAGUCAUCAGGACGGAAGGACCUCAGGUCGGUAGGUCCUCAAGACGGAAAGACCUCAAGUCGGAAGGUUUUCAGGUCGGGAGGUCCUCAAGACGGAAAGACCUCAAGUCGGAAGGUUUUCAGGUCGGGAGGUCCUCAAGACGGAAAGACCUCAAGUCGGAAGGUUUUCAGGUCGGGAGGUCCUCAAGACGGAAAGACCUCAAGUCGGAAGGUUUUCAGGUCGGGAGGUCCUCAAGACGGAAAGACCUCAAGUCGGAAGGUUUUCAGGUCGGGAGGUCCUCAAGACGGAAAGACCUCAAGUCGGAAGGUUUUCAGGUCGGGAGGUCCUCAAGACGGAAAGACCUCAAGUCGGAAGGUUUUCA